GGAUGAGCCCGCGGCCUAUCAGCUUGACGGUGAGGUAAUGGCUCACCAUGGCUUCGACGGGUAGCCGGCCUGAGAGGGUGACCGGUCACACUGGGACUGAGACACGGCCCAGACUCCUACGGGAGGCAGCGGUGGGGAAUAUUGGACAAUGGGCGGAAGCCUGAUCCAGCAACGCCGCGUGAGGGAUGACGGCCUUCGGGUUGUAAACCUCUUUCAGUACCGACGAAGCGAAAGUGACGGUAGGUACAGAAGAAGCACCGGCUAACUACGUGCCAGCAGCCGCGGCCG
rnacentral:rRNA from 1 species